rnacentral:lncRNA from 1 species
AAUAUCUCCUUUAUCUCCUUUCCUUCUUGCAUUUCUUUAAUAGCUGUCAGUCUUUCUUUUGUAGCUGUUAGUAUAUUCUUCUUUUCUUUUGUAGCUGUCAGUAUAUUCUUCUUUUCUUAUUAAAUUUCUGUCAUAGCUGUAUAUCCCUUGAUUCUCUCUAAAGACCUCAAUUAUUGUCUAGGCCUAGGACUAAAAGGAUCUGAUUAUGAUGAUUAGAUCCCAGAAUUAAAGGAUUUGAUACUUCUUGAUGUAUAUAUAUAUUGUAACUCUCUUAGUGAAAAAUACAGAAAACAUUUCAGAAUUUCUCUUGUAUUAUCUUGUCAUGGUAUCAGAGCCAAAACUCUGAAAUCAAUUCAUCUUGUAUCUAGUUCCUUGUCUGGUUCUUCUAUUCUGUUUUUCUUGAACUUGAUCUCUUGGUUCUUGUUUCUAGUUAAAUCAUGUCUCUGGAACGAUCUGAACAUUUUCUUGUUCGAUUUACUGGAAAGAACUAUUCUGCCUGGGCUUUCCAGUUUCAGAUUUUUGUCAAGGGAAAGGAAUUAUGGGGUCAUAUUGCUGGGACAGUUCCUGCACCUGACAGUGAGCAGGAGAAAGAGAAAUAUGUGAAAUGGGAGGUGAAGGAUGCUCAGAUUAUGUCUUGGAUCCUUGGAAGUAUGGAACACUCCAUGCUUCUCAAUCUCAAGCCUUACAAAUCCUCUAGAGAGAUGUGGGAUUACCUGAAGAAAGUUUACAACCAAAGCAAUACAGCACGAAGAUUCCAAUUGGAACUCGAGUUGGGUCAACUCAGUCAAGGCAGUAUGUCAAUACAAGAGUUUUAUUCUUCCUUUGUAAAUCUUUGGGCUGAGUACACAGAUAUUGUGUAUGCAAGUGUACCUCCUGAAGGACUUAUUUUAUUCAAAGUGUGCAUGAGACCAGCAAACGUGAUCAAUUUUUAAUGAAGUUAAGGGGGGGAUUUGAAGCAAUCAGGUCCAACCUGAUGAAUAGACAACCAGUUCCUUUCUUGGAUAUUUGUGUAGGAGAACUUCUCAGGGAAGAACAACGGAUCAUUACACAGGCUGUUUUGGAGCAGAAAGCUCAAACUUCUACUCCAAUUCCUGUUGCAUACACUGCUCAAGGGAGGUCUAAAGGAGGUAGAAAUAUGUCAAAUGUCCAGUGCUAUAGCUGCAAAGGAUUUGGGCACAUUGCCACUACUUGUACUAAAAAAUUCUGCAACUAUUGUAAGAAAACAGGGCAUAUCAUCAAAGACUGCUCCAUCCGGCCUCCAAAGAAAUCUGAAACUGCCUAUAAUGUCUCGGUUGGUUCCUCAAAUACUCCUAGUCCUGGUCAGUCCUCUAUUACCCCUGAAAUGGUCCAACAAAUGAUAGUUUCUGCCCUUUCUGCUUUAGGCCUUUCAGGUAACCGAAAUUCUGUUCCUAAGCCUUGGUAUUUUGAUUCUGCUGCUUCCAAUCACAUGACCAACACUGCCUUACCUUUAAAUAAUGUUAAAAAAUAUAAAGGCAAUCUUCAUAUUCGUACUGCCGAUGGUAAUCCCUUGUCUAUCACAGCUGUUGGUGAUAUUUCAGCCCUUCUGAAUACUAUCUUUGUGUCUCCUAAGCUGUCCACUAAUCUUAUAUCUGUUGGCCAAUUGGUUGACAACAAUUGUGAUGUUCAUUUUUCCAAAUCUGGUUGUUUUGUGCAGGAUCAAGUGUCCAGGAAGAUGAUCGCGAAGGGACCUAAAGUGGGACGCCUAUUUCCCUUGCUUCUAUCUCCCUCUCCUAUGUCAAAUUAUGUUGCAUGUAAUGCUGUUCAAUGUGAUAAUCAGGUGUGGCAUAGACGUUUAGGACAUCCCAAUUCUCAUGUACUUCGAGUCUUGUUUAAAUCUGGUUUACUAGGAAAUAAAAAUUCGACUUCUUCUAAUAAUGAUAUUGUUGAUUGUGCAUCUUGCAAACUUGGUAAAAGCAAAACACUUCCUUUUCCAUUGCAUAAAACCCGCACCACCAAAACUUUUGAAAUCGUACAUACUGAUGUAUGGGGUAUUGCACCUGUCAUUUCUCAUGAACAUUACAAAUACUUUGUUACAUUUAUAGAUGAUUUCACUCGUUUUACUUGGGUAUAUUUUCUUCGAUCUAAAAGUGAGGUCUUCUCUGUGUUUAAAGCCCUUCUUGCCUUAGUUGAGACACAAUUUUCUGCCAAAAUCAAAAUUCUGCAAUCUGAUUCAGGUGGUGAAUAUAUGUCAAAUGAAUUUCAAUUUUUUCUUCAAAGUCAUGGGAUCAUAUCACAACGUUCUUGUCCUUUCACCCCACAACAAAAUGGUGUGGCUGAAAGAAAGAAUCGUCAUCUUCUUGAUGUUGUUCGAACCCUUCUCCUUGAGUCAUGUGUUCCUUCUCAUUUUUGGUGUGAAGCUUUGUGUACUGCUGUUUAUUUAAUUAAUCGAUUACCAUCUCCUCACUUGAACAAUGAUUCUCCCUACGUUUGUUUGUUUGGACAUGCACCAAAUUAUUCCAAUCUUCAUAUUUUUGGUUGUGUUUGUUUUGUUCACCUUCCUGCACAUGAGAGAAAUAAACUUACUGCCCAAUCUGUCAAGUGUGCUUUCUUAGGCUAUGCUGGCACCCAAAAAGGAUUUCUUUGUUAUGAUCCACAUGCCCGUCGAACUCGUGUCUCUAGGAAUGUCAUAUUUUUUGAAAAUCAGCCCUUCUUUUGCACCCAACAGCCUUCAGUACUUCCUUCUCUAUCUGUUUUACCAUGUUUUCCUGAGUCGCCAACACCAGUACAAAGGUUUAACCCUGUUUAUGUUUCUCAUAGACGCACUCCUACUUCUGAUCCUUCUCCAGGUCUCACUGAGGUUCCUUCACAUCUUCCUGUAACAUCUGAUCUUGUUCUGCCCAUUUCCUAUGAUCCCCCUCCUCUUCGUAGAAGCUCUAGACCUCACAAACCUCCUGAAAGGUAUGGUUUUUCAACUCCUGUGGCUAUGUCUACUACUCUGUCUUCUAUUUCCAUUCCCACUUGUUAUACACAGGCUAAAGAACAUGAGUGCUGGAAACAAGCAAUGAAGGCUGAACUUCAUGCACUUAAGGCCAAUCAUACUUGGGACAUUAUUUCUUGUCCUCCACAUGUCAAGCCCAUUGGUAGCAAGUGGGUUUAUACUGUGAAACUCAAGUCUGAUGGAUCUUUGGAUAGAUACAAAGCUCGAUUGGUUGCUCUUGGCAAUAAACAAGAAUAUGGCUUCGACUAUGAAGAAACAUUUGCACCCGUUGCUAAGAUGACUACGGUGAGAACACUUCUUGCUAUUGCAGCCUCUCAAGCUUGGCCUUUAUAUCAGAUGGAUGUGACAAAUGCCUUCUUGCAUGGGGAUCUUAAGGAAGAGAUUUAUAUGAAACUUCCACCUGGUAUGUCCACAACGGCUUCUGAUGAAGUUUGCAAACUAAGACGCUCUUUGUAUGGGUUGAAACAGGCACCUAGAGCUUGGUUUGAGAAGUUUCGCAACACUCUACUCACCUUCUCCUUCACACAAAGUCAAUAUGAUUCAUCACUUUUCUUUUACAAGACCACCACUGGUAUGGUAUUUCUCUUAGUCUAUGUUGAUGAUAUUAUCCUCACUGGUAAUGACAUUGGGUUGAUCACCAAGCUUCAACAUAUGCUGCAUAGUACAUUUCAAAUGAAAGAUCUUGGACAUCUCACAUAUUUUUUGGGGCUGGAAGUUCACUCUAGAGAUCAUGGUUUGUUCUUAAAUCAACAUAAAUAUAUUCAGGAUCUCAUUGAGUUAGCUGGUUUAAAGGAUGCUACUGCUGUUGAUACACCAAUGGAGGUGAAUGUGAAAUACCGAAAAGAUGAAGGCGACCUUUUGCCUGAUCCUUUUUUAUAUAGGCAACUUGUUGGUAGUCUUAUCUACCUAACCAUUACACGGCCUGAUAUCUCCUAUGCUGUCCAUAUCGUUAGCAAAUUUAUGCAGGCACCUCGCCAUCUUCAUCUUGCUGCAGUUCGUCGUCUUAUUCGAUACUUAAUUGGGUCCCCUACUCGUGGGUUGUUUUUUCCUAAACAUUCUCCUCUUACCUUGACUUCCUAUAGUGAUGCAGAUUGGGCUGGUUGCCCGGAUACUCGGAAGUCUAUCACAGGGUGGUGCAUUUUUCUUGGCGAUGCCUUGAUUUCUUGGAAGUGUAAGAAGCAGGAUUGUGUCUCUAAAUCUUCUACAGAAGCCGAGUAUCGCGCCAUGUCUGCAGCUUGUUCUGAAAUUGUGUGGUUACGUGGUCUUAUUUCUGAACUUGGGUUCCCCCCAACUGCUCCUACUCCUCUUCAUGGUGAUAAUACUAGUGCUAUUCAAAUAGCUGCGAAUCCGGUCUACCAUGAACGCACUAAGCACAUAGAGGUGGACUGUCAUUAUAUUAGGGAGGCCUUUACUCGGGGUGUUAUCACUCUUCCUCAUCUCAAUACUGCUCUUCAAAUAGCUGAUGCCUUUACAAAAGCCUUAACACGCCAACGCCAUCAGUUUCUCAGCAGCAAAUUGAUGUUGUUAGACCUACCCGCAUCAAUUUGAGGGGGGAUGUCAAUAUCUCCUUUAUCUCCUUUCCUUCUUGCAUUUCUUUAAUAGCUGUCAGUCUUUCUUUUGUAGCUGUUAGUAUAUUCUUCUUUUCUUUUGUAGCUGUCAGUAUAUUCUUCUUUUCUUAUUAAAUUUCUGUCAUAGCUGUAUAUCCCUUGAUUCUCUCUAAAGACCUCAAUUAUUGUCUAGGCCUAGGACUAAAAGGAUCUGAUUAUGAUGAUUAGAUCCCAGAAUUAAAGGAUUUGAUACUUCUUGAUGUAUAUAUAUAUUGUAACUCUCUUAGUGAAAAAUACAGAAAACAUUUCAGAAUUUCUCUUGUAUUAUCUUGUCA